rnacentral:rRNA from 1 species
GAUGAACGCUGGCGGCGUGCCUAAUACAUGCAAGUCGAGCGAACAGAUGAGGAGCUUGCUCCUCUGACGUUAGCGGCGGACGGGUGAGUAACACGUGGAUAACCUACCUAUAAGACUGGGAUAACUUCGGGAAACCGGAGCUAAUACCGGAUAAUAUAUUGAACCGCAUGGUUCAAUAGUGAGAGACGGUUUUGCUUUCACUUAUAGAUGGAUCCGCGCCGCAUUAGCUAGUUGGUAAGGUAACGGCUUACCAAGGCAACGAUGCGUAGCCGACCUGAGAGGGUGAUCGGCCACACUGGAACUGAGACACGGUCCAGACUCCUACGGGAGGCAGCAGUAGGGAAUCUUCCGCAAUGGGCGAAAGCCUGACGGAGCAACGCCGCGUGAGUGAUGAAGGUCUUCGGAUCGUAAAACUCUGUUAUUAGGGAAGAACAAAUGUGUAAGUAACUAUGCACGUCUUGACGGUACCUAAUCAGAAAGCCACGGCUAACUACGUG